rnacentral:rRNA from 1 species
UACAGAGGGGGCAAGCGUUGUUCGGAAUUACUGGGCGUAAAGGGCGCGUAGGCGGCCUGCUAAGUCGAACGUGAAAUCCCUGGGCUCAACCCAGGAACUGCGUCCGAUACUGGUUGGCUUGAAUCCGGGAGAGGGAUGUGGAAUUCCAGGUGUAGCGGUGAAAUGCGUAGAUAUCUGGAGGAACACCUGUGGCGAAGGCGGCCCCCUGGUUGGAUACUGACGCUGAUACGCGAAAGCGUGGGGAGCAAACAGG